UACGUAGGGCGCAAGCGUUGUCCGGAAUUAUUGGGCGUAAAGAGCUCGUAGGCGGCUUGUCACGUCGGGUGUGAAAGCCCCGGGGCUUAACCCCGGGUCGGCAUUCGAUACGGGCAGGCUAGAGUGUGGUAGGGGAGAUCGGAAUUCCUGGUGUAGCGGUGAAAUGCGCAGAUAUCAGGAGGGACACCGGUGGCGAAGGCGGGUCUCUGGGCCGAUACUGACGCUGAGGAGCGAAAGCGUGGGGAGCGAACAGG
rnacentral:rRNA from 1 species